rnacentral:rRNA from 1 species
UCCCGCCUGGGGGAGUACCGACCCGCAAGGGUUGAAAAUCUCAAAGGGAAUUUGAACGGGGAACCCCGCACAAGCGGUGGAGCAUGUGGUUUAAUUCGAAGCAACGCGAAGAACCUUACCAAAUCUUGACAUCCUUUGACCGCUCUAGAGAUAGAGUUUUCCCCUUCGGGGGACAAAGUGACAGGUGGUGCAUGGUGGUCGUCAGCUCGUGUCGUAAGAUGUUGGGUUAAGUCCCGCAACAAGCGCAACCCUUAAGCUUAGUUGCCAUCAUUAAGUUGGGCACUCUAAGUUGACUGCCGGUGACAAACCGGAGGAAGGUGGGGAUGACGUCAAAUCAUCAUGCCCCUUAUGAUUUGGGCUACACACGUGCUACAAUGGACAAUACAAAGGGCAGCUAAACCGCGAGGUCAAGCAAAUCCCAUAAAGUUCUUCUCAGUUCGGAUUGUAGUCUGCAACUCGACUACAUGAAGCUGGAAUCGCUAGUA